UACAGAGGGUGCGAGCGUUAAUCGGGAUUACUGGGCGUAAAGGGUGUGUAGGUGGUCAAUUAAGUCAGGUGUGAAAUCCCUGGGCUUAACCUAGGAAUUGCAUUUGAGACUGAUUGACUAGAGUGUGGUAGAGGGAAGUGGAAUUUCCGGUGUAGCGGUGAAAUGCGUAGAUAUCGGAAGGAACAUCAGUGGCGAAGGCGACUUCCUGGACCAUUACUGACACUGAGGCACGAAAGCGUGGGGAGCGAACAGG
rnacentral:rRNA from 1 species